CGGCUUCGCUUCGAUUUGGGCGGCUUGGAUUAGAGAGUGCUCCCGCCUGACGCGGGUUAGACACUUCACAACAGGCAGAGUGUCACCGUCGCAGGACGAGAGCCACUCCGACAACGUUCUCCGACCACGGCCGCUUGAUUCACCGUCGGGCCCAUCGAGGGGCCGCGCUCCGACAUACAACUCCGGCUACGUGGCUCCUCGGGUGCUACGAACGACAUCGUAUGAGUAGGGUAGAGCUGGACCAGGAGGAUACCAUUGGACUGUUAAUGAUGUCCAAGACUUGUGACGGGUUCAGGUCAUGGGAUCUAAGGACUGCUGAGAUGCAGCUGCAGAUCUAAUCCACAAGGUGACAAGGAGAUGGAAGUUCAAGCAGUGAAUCUGGAAGGACGACAGCUGUCUCCUAGUUCUUCACAAAACAGAAAACAAUGUAUUUAUUACGCAAUGCUUUCAGAGCCUCCUGUAUUCAUAUCAUGGAUGGUCCUGAUGUCCCUGUGAUUCUAAAGCAAUGAGAAGAAAGGCCACCAUCUGAAAAUGAAACUCAUUGACAAGUUCUUUGCGGUAUUUGUGAGAGUGACGCUACAAAUGGUCUACUCCUUUGAUGUGUGAUAAUGAGUAGGCUUCCCCACUCGCAUCAAGCUUUACCGCCCGACACCUGUGUUCUCAGGUGAAAUUGUGCUGUUGUGUGUAAAGCUUUAUUGCUUUGCACCGGAAUGCGUGCAGAAGCUGUGGAGCAUCAGUUAGCUCAAUGUUGCUCACUGUUAUGGCUCUUUGGUUACGAGUUAUAGAUAUGGGGGACCCUUAAAGGGAUGCUGAAGCGAAAUUUGAAUUUCCCAAAACACGCGGCAAAAGCGUGCAACGGGAUGCUACAAACACCGAAACAUCCCUCAAUCGGCGAUAUCUCGAACGGAUGACCGUAUUUUAAAAAAAAGAGGCGCAUUUGGCAGGAAUGUUGACGUCAUGUUUCUCUGAGAAGGAGAGGGAACGGCCUCUUGUCUUCUCCGCCUCGCGGCCUUGAGGGAGCGAAGCGAAGAGAGAAGGAAACACGGUAUCUUGACGUCACGCGCCUCGUCGGCCUGGUUCAAUCUCGACCUCUUUUUCCAAAAAUACGGCCGUCCAUUCGAGAUAUCGCCUUGCGAGUAGUGUUGUAGGGAUUGUAGCGUCCCGCCUACAUCCCCUGCAUUGUUUUUUUUAAAUCCAAUUUUCGGUUCACCAUCCCUUUAAAGUGAAUUAAUUGAACCACGAUAGCACUUUUACUGUGAUCAGGAAUUUCUCCCCGAGAUGUUGCUGCCUGCCAUUACUCUUUUAAAAUAUUUAUACAUUAUAGUUUGGUCUACCCCCAACUGAUAAGGAAGGGGAGACGUUUGUCACUUCAAGCCAGCAUGAGUCUAUUGGAAUGGAAAGCUUGAUACUAGAGAGUUCUAUAGAACAUUUUCCACAAUUUGGAUUGAUAGCCUGAUCCAACCCCAGCCAGCCGCAAAAUGAGGCCUUGUAUUGGAUUGAGUUUCAAAAAUGGUUCUCUAAAACCCUCUAAUGUCAAAGGCAAGCACCUGUGGCUGUUUGUAAAAAUAGGGACAGCUAUUCUUCCCUGUGGCACGACGCUGGUUAGUAUUUACUGUAAACGACUAAAUUUUCGCGAAUCGCCUACAAUUCGCGAAAAAUAUGUCCCACGUACAAUUCGGGCAAUAUGUGAACGCUACGAAAGCUACACUCGAUUCACGAAAAUUGGAACCCGCAAAUAAUUUCAAAUUUUCAGCUUUGGCCUGAUUCGCGAAAAUUAAGUCGUUUACAGUAUAGUUGCUCUGCUUUCUUUGCCAUUCGAAAAGUUACAGGCCACAUUGGGGUGGCAGUAAUUAAAUUCUGUUUUGGCAGCCCUCUUCCCAUGGCUCUGAAUGGCUUGGCUGCAGCACAAAUAUUUUGAAACACGUGCCAACAGGUGCAAGUUCCUCAUAAAAUAAAUGAAAAGGCAUGCAGGACCUCUCAUAUGAUUACCUGCAUGUGCUCCCAGUGAAAGUUUAGUGCACAGUCAAUGUUUUCUAAAUAUUUCUAUACACAAAGUUAAAGUUCAGGUGCCAUUAGGCAUUAAAUGUUUAUACAUUUUGAGGUACACGUCUUCCAAAUAUGGGAUUGAAACAUACUCUCAUUAUAAUUGUCAUGCCAACCUAGCUUCAUAAAAUACCCUCGGUUCCAACCAACGUUGUACUGAGCAGAUGUGAGCUGCUUUUAUCUCUUUUGUAUGGUCGUCAAUUUAUCUGCUGGCAUAUGCUUUGUCUUACGAGUGCUUCAGAAGGCACAUUUCCUGAAUUUGGCUUGUGUGCCAUCUUGUGCAGGCAUAUUUGAAAUCUGUGUAGUCUAAAUGAUUGUAUAAAUGUUAUAAGAGCAUAUUGCAACAAAAUGUAUUAUUUGGCAGCUGGUUGCAGGCUAAUAAUACCAAUAAAAUAGAGCUUCGAAACAUC
rnacentral:lncRNA from 1 species